UACUUCCGUGUUUACAAAAAUAUUAUGUUCUAUUCGUUUGCAAACUAAUUAUCCAUAUAUAUUUUAUAUGUCAUUGUUACAGGUUAACAUUAGUAUGAUAGUAAACUUAUAGAAGUUUGUUCCUUACUGUGAAUCUUUUUAUUGUAUUUUGACACCUGGUUUUUGUUACUUGAAGAAAAAUUAUGUCUUCUUUUGUGAAGAAAUACAAGAUAAGAUAAUUAAAGUAUAAACAGAUUUCAAAGCAUGUUAUACAAUGAAGGUGGCGUCCUUUAUACAACUUUUUGUGUUUGCCUAUUCCUACAAUUGUAUCGUAGCAAAUGUAAUAGAAGUAAAACUGACAAGCAUUUGCAGUAGUAAGGUUACACUCAGCUAUUCAAUAUUUGACUCAAAGACUGCGGAAAGUUGUGAAUAUCGAUGUUGGAACUGUACGGCAAAAUAUCGAGAGCUUGGCUCAUCAGAUGGUGGUCUUCGCAAGGUCGAGUACUCACACCUUAACGCUGAUGGAGAAAUCAGACUAGAUGGACUGUCUGCGGAGAGUAAUUACAGUAUUCAUUUGAAAUGCGGAGCUAUACAAUCAAAUGAAGUAUUCUUUUUUACUGAAGGUACCAAUACCAGCUGUCCUGACGAUAUAAUCCCAAGCUCAACACUAAGUCCAGUGAUGGUAUUUCAUGAAGACACGUUACUGGGGACAAGAGACUCUGUGCUUGGAAUUGUGUUUUCUCUUCUUGGUCUCCUGAUCAUCUUAAUCACAACUUUUUAUGUGGUACGGAAAAUCAGAAGACGGAGACGACUGGAGAGGAUUCGGACAUACCUUGGAUCAACAAUUAUUGACCCCUUUGAGAAUCUUCAAAACCGUAUAGAGGAGGAUUCCGGGAGUCAGCGACUGAUUGAAGCACUAGAAAACAGGGGCUCAGCUGCUGAAUUGUGAUACACAUGAAGAUACAAAAAAUUAGGGCAUAAAUUCUAUUGGAAUUAUUGAAUCUGAUACUGUUCGUAGUUGAAUUGUGUUACAAGAAGCAUUUAAGGCAUUAAUUAUUCCAUUCAUCAGGGCUGUAAAAUGCUACUGACUUGCUCAAAAUAAUGACUAAAAUUUGGUUCCCUGCAAGUAUGAUGUCAAAAUACUUGCCAGAUCAGACAACCCCUACUUGAGAUCAGUAAGUGCUUUGAUUUUCUAACAGGUACUUGCCUGGUACCGACAUGAAGACACUGUGUAAACUUAUAUUACUGUAUAAUGCGUAAUUAGAUUUGUUUGUAACUGUAACCAGGCAAUAUGUGUUUGCAUGGGGUUAAUAUUUGCAUUUGCACCUUUUAUUGUAAUGCACAGUGUUGAAAACAGCUUGAUUUCUGCAAUUUUUUGGGAAAAAUGUCUUGAGAGGUUUGACAGCUGCAAACAUGAAAAUCUAGGUGAGCAGAAAGUAAGUAAGGGCAAGCUGACUUUGUCAGCUGGUAGCCAUAUAAUGGCUGAUAGCUUUUAAGAGAUUUAUACACACUUGUACAUUUGCUGUUGGAUACUCUUUUUGCAUUUAUUUUAAGAGUUGUGAUACAUGUAGCUAUAGCUUUGUUUAAAAAUCAAUUCUUUCGGUAAUGUUAGAAUUGGAUACUCUUUUGUACUGGUAUUUUAAAGUGAUUUCCCAUUCUUUUAUGUGUGUCUGUAAAUGUGCAUUAGAGUUAACAUAUGAGCUGUCGAGCUCUCGACAAUCAGGGCUUCAUGCAUGUGUGUAAAGUGUCAUCCAAGCUAAUAUUUUCUUCUAUGACCUAGUAAAGGCUGAUACCAACAAGUUGACUUGUGUUGGUGUAGAACCACAAAAUAGUUUAUAUGUGUUUUAUAAACACAUCUGCAUAGAAUAGUGGUGAUUUCCAAAUAGUACAUAUUGUUCAUACUGGAAUGAGUUUAAAUUAUUUACAAUUAUACAAAACACUUAUUUCCUUGAUUUUCAAAUUUCUUCAGAACUGCUAUUUUGGUUUUUCAUAUCAUCUACAUGUUAUCUUUUUUGAAAAGUUUUUGCUACAGUGAGUUCAUAAACUUGUAUACUUGCUUUAACUAAUUUUUUUAGGAAAUGAACGAAAGUUUAAUGCCUUUAAGAAAUCCAACCAAGUGGGCCUGUAAUCACAAACGUUUUAAGUAUAAAAUACAGACUCAGACUUAUAUUUCCCAAAUUUAAAAAUUGAUUUUCUAGAGAUAUCAAAUCGUGUUAAGUGAAUGAAAAGUGAUAUUUGUGUAGUUCUCUUUAUAUUGAAUGUGAUCGUUUUAUGAUACAAAUUAUCGGUAAAAUUAUAUUUGGAUUCUUUUCUUUAGCCUAUAAUUAAGACUUAAAACUUAGGAAAAUUCAAGUCCAACUUAAUUAUAAAUUCAUUAAUUAUUUAUUAUAAAUAAAGGUAGAACUGUUAAAACUGCACAGGCUAAUCUGGGAUAUUACUUAACAUUUGGUGAAUUCAAGUCCAACUUUGUUAUAAAUGCAUUAAUUAUAUAUAGGAUCUUGCAUGAGUGGUCGCGUUGUAUUGAAUUUAUUAAACAAGUCCUCUAAUUAAUGAUUAAAAACGAGGCUUUUUUAUUUUAUGCUCUUUUAACCGUUUAUUCACAUUGUAAAAGAGUUAACUGAAGAAAUUCGCUGGAAUAAUGACGUCAUUUCGUCCAAAAAAAAAGAUGUCAUUUCACAGUUAUUUAACUAGUGUAAUAACACCCGUGUAAUAAACAAAAAUGAGCAUAACAUUAUUUCACGCCUGGAGCGUAGGUAAUGUUAUAAUUACUAAUAAAGGUAGAAAUGUUAAGACUGCACAGGCUAAUCUGGGAUAAUACUUAACAUGUAUGCAUUAAGUCCUGUUUUCCCAGAACCAGGCUCAUUUGAUCUGUAGAUUGUUGAAGAUUUUUAGUGUAUUUUACAACAAGUGUAAUAGAUGAUGUUCUUCUUGUUUGGAAUGCCUGUUAACAUCGUGUACAUUAUGUCAUAUGUAAAUGGUCACACUAGUUGUUGAUAUUGGUAAAUUAAUUAUAAUAAAAUUGAAUUGAAACCAAAGAAAAUAUCAUGCAUUUGUUUGAAAGUCACACAUGACAAUGACUUGUAUGUGUUUUGAAAUUUGAAAAUGUUCAAAGCUUGUUGAUGAUAAUUCUAUUUGUUAUCAAGUUUAUACUUUAAUAUUUGCCCUUUCCAUAUGAUUUUGGUUUCAUUCAGAUUUCAAAAAUAUAUGUUUGCAUUCUAAAAAAAAGAAACAUAUUACAUUGUAUGUUAUAAUUCCAUCGUAAACGUAUCAGUUUAAAAGUUGAAAAAAGAGACAUCCAGUUUUACUAUGUUUUUAUGCCCCCAAAGGAGGGCAUAUAACGGUAGUGAUCGGACUGUCAGUCUCUCCGUCCGUCUUUCUGUCACACUUUGGGUUUAGGUUUUGAAAAAUGCUCAUAACUUCUAUGUCGCUUCAGAUAGCAACUUGAUAUUCGGCAAGCAUGUGUAUCUCAUGGAGCUGCACAUUUUGAUUGCUGAAAGGUCAAGGUUAAAAAAAAACAAGUUCAAGGGAAGUAAUAAGCUUCAAAGGGAGAUAAUUAUCUGUACCUGCCAAAUGAUGGAAAAAAUUAAUAAAUCAAAGCGGCGUAGUAGGGGGCAUUGUGUUUCUGACAAACACAUCUCUUGUUCUUAUUCAAAUGUAAAUCUUUUGUGUUGUAAGCUAUAACAUAGCUAUCACGCCUUAUUUGUUGCACUUUUGUAUAUAAUUUAGUUCACUUUUAAACGAAUAAUAGGAUUUUAUUUUAUGCUUUCCGGUGGUUUAUAGAGAAAUAUCAGUGAAUUAAAACUGAUAAUUUCACUGUUUUAAACAGUGAAAAUUAUCAUUGAAAAUUAUCAGUUAAAAUCAUCAAUAAUUUUCAUUGUUUACUGUGAAAUGACGUCAUUUUUUGACGAAAUGAUGUCAUUAUCACAGCGAAAAUCUUUAGUUAAACUCUUUAACAAUAUAUAUAAACUGUGAAAAAAAGCAUAAAAUAAAAAGAAAAUUUGUUGGAUUCGGUGGAUUAUCGAUUUUAAUUCACUCGUGAUCAUAGAAAAAAAAAUCCAACAAAUAUCCUUUAUAUAUAAUGUGAUAUCAUUUUAUCCAAAACUUAUUUGUGUCUCUUUUUGCCUUCCAUUUGUUCUGAGUUAAGGGUCUGGCCAGUUUAUGUAUUUUUUUUACAUGUUAUGUAUUCAUUAAAGGAGCCUUUUCACAGAUUUUGGCGUGUAUUGAAGUUUGUCAUAAAAUUCUUUAUAUUGAUAAAUUUAUAAUUGGACCUAAAAAUCUUCAGUAAAAAUCAAGAAUACAAUUAAAAAAGUAACCCUCCACUGUUCUUGAACCACUGAUCCCUGGAGUCCUGGAGUAAAAAAGUCUUCCACUUAGACCACUCGGCCAUCUGUGCUCAUGCUAUGAGGGGACGUAUUUUUUACUUUAUAUUAGCAAUCCUCAAAGUUUCACAAAAUAUAACUACAACAAUGGAACUUUCCAAAUUAUUCAAUCAUUUUGCGAUGCAACGCUUUAUAAUUUUCAUGUUUUUAAAUGGUCAAUAAUGGACAUUUUAGAGCAUGGUUAAUGUUCAGUAUUACUAUUUCCUCACAAAUAUCAUAACUAAAACGAAAAUUUGCGAAUCUGACCUUUUUUAAUUUUGUCAAUUUACCAAGACGUGAAAAGGUCCCUAUAAUCCAUAUCUAUUCUGUGACAUGACUUUAUAGUAAUCCAGUUGCCCUUUUUAAUAACUGAUUAAACUAUUGAUUAUUAACUUGGCUGUUUUUGAAGAAAACCCGAGGUAUUUUCAUAGCCGGCUCGCUGUCUGCCAUCCGCCGUGCUCAAACCUUAACAUUGGCUUUAAAAUCAAAGUGCUUCCACCUACAACUCUGAAAUUUCAUAUGUAUAUGCACAUUGAUGAGUUCUACUCACCACACCUAUUUUGGGGUCACUAGGUCAAAUUUCAAGGUCACUGUGACCUCUAAAAAAAAUUAUUCUGACAAGCUUUCAUUUAUUUCAAACUGCACCUGCAGCCGAGCUUGGCCCCCGUUAUGCGGUGCUCUUGUUACAAAAUUUGCUUUAUCAUGUUGUGAUUUUAUAAGAAAAAAAGCUUGUGUGUUUUCAUGUCAGUCAAUUAUAAUUUGUCUUUUUGCUCAACUUAAACAAGUUUUUUUUGUACUUGAACAAGUCAUGCAUAAUUAUGCACCAUACAGAUUCUUAAUGUUUCACUCAAUAUCAUUUUCUAAUGUGGGUAAAUACUAAGGUAAUUUGCUAUGUGUUUUGUUAACCAUGUUUUCCGAAGUAAAAAAAUGGUUAUUAGAUUGGCGAAUGUCUGCGGGCGGGCAAUAACUUUGUCGUUCAUUUUCAGAUUUUAAAAUCAUUUGGCACAUUUGUUCACCAUCAUUAGAUGGUGUGUCGCACGAAAGAAUUACAUCGAUAUCUCCAAGGUCAAGGUCACACUUUGAGUUCAAAGGUAAAAAAUGGCCAUAAAUGAGCUUGUCCGGCCAUAACUAUGUCAUUCAUUGUGAGAUUUUAAAAUCAUUUGGCACAUUUGUUCACCAUCAUGGGACGGUGUGUCACACGAAAGAAUAACGUCAAUAUCUCCAAGGUCAAGGUCGCCACAACUAAAAAUAGAUUUAUUUUGAAACUAAGGGGGUUAAUUGUAAACAAUCAGUUCAGUUUUAGUUGUCUCUCUAUAUCAGCCUUUUUUUCACAUUGAAAACCUGGUUUUGUGACAAUUUUGUUUCUUGUUUAUAUAAAAACACUAAACCAUUGGUGAAAUUAUCAUGUUUGUGUGUCUUUACUGGCUUUAUGUUGGAUAUGAAAGUAUUAAUUAAUAAGACAAAAAUUAAAAACAUCUUGUCAGAAACCACUUGGCAGAUAAGAUUAUUUUUGAAAAGUUUAUGGAUUAUUUUUCUUAAAAAUCACAUCAUGCGAAAAAGGUUCUUAUGACAAAUUCAUCCAGUAUAGCCCCAUACCAGCAUGUGUAUCGCUGUCGAUUAUAAAGUAGGUUUCAUGCUCUUAUUAAUGGAAAGGGUAGACCUAACUUCCCAAACAUACAGGCUGGUCUGCAGCUACACUAGACGCGUAUAGCAUACGACCUAUUUAAGCAUUUAAUUGGUCUUAUUGUAAUGGUAUUUGAAAAACAGUUUCAAACAACAGAGCAAUGCAUUCAUGUGUUAGUAAAUUUAUGAUCUCUUAAUGAUCUUUGCACCAAUUAGUUUUCCUAUUAUCUAUUGCUAAGAAGAUAAAUGUGUAGUAGGUUCAAAUAUUAUGAUUUGUUUUAAGAAAAUAUUUUAAAAUAAUGCACUUGCUAAGUAACACAUUUAAGAAAAGCAAUGUUUAAUGUAUGUUACAGUAACUUACUAUUUGCGAUGUAUGCGUUCUGUAUAUAUAUGAUAUAUAUGUGAAUGUUGUUUUAUUUGACCAUCACCUUGUUAAGUCUUAUUUUCAUUUAUUGUAAUAGCAAUAAACUGCUACAUAAAACAUAUAUAUUCUUUACGGGGUAGCUGUAGUAAAUUAGUUUUAUUAAAAGGGACCCCAUGCAGACUAUACAGAAAUGGGCAUAGUAUAACAAUAAAAAUGUGAACACCAUAUUUUAAAUUGGUAUUUUAGAUGGAAAACUAGCUUCCUACAGAGAGUAUGAGAAUCAUUUAUUCUAAGGAAAUACAUGUACAAAUAGACACCUAACAUAGACUUUGUUAUUCAGUCAUGCAUGUGUAAGUGUUAAAGGAAUAGUUAUUAUGUAGGUUUUUUUAUGAAAUGAAGAAAUUCAUUGAAGCCCUUUCCUUAAAACUCUUGAUCUCUCCCACAAACAAAAGCAAUACUGCACAACACAUAUCACCUGCUCCCAUAGAUUUAGAAUUAAUUUUAUUUUUAUUUGUUAAAUUUUGGAUUUGUUUGUUUGAUUUUUUUUUCCUAUAGCAUAUGUUAAAAGUAAAUAAGACUUAAUUAGUAUGUAUAGCUCAUUGAAGGGAUAUGAAGCUCACAGUCACCAUAACUCUUUGCUUUCAUAUAUGAGUUGUGUUCUGAGGAAAAUGGGCAUACUGCAUGUGUGUAAAGUGUCAUCCCAGAUUAGCCUGUGCAGUCUGCACAGGCUAAUCAGGGACAAUACCGUCCACCUAAACUAGAUUUUUGCUAAUAAGAGACUUUCUUUAAACAGAAAAUAUCAUAAAAGUGGAAAGUGUUGUCCCUGAUAAUCUGGGAUGACACUUUAUGCACAUGCAUUAAAUCCUGUUUUCACAGAGCUCGGCCCAUAUAUUUAGAGUUAUUGCCAGUCAUUGGUUUUUAUUCUUAGAUUUUGUGUGGAGCAAAUCAUAAAAAUUAUAAGAGAUUCACAAGUCUUUUUUUAACUCAAAGGGGCAUCACAGUAUUUUCCUAUAAUAUAUUCAUUAAAACAAUUCAUAUUCACUCCUAUAAUUAUUUUUUUAAAUAACAGUGUCAUAUUGAUGAAACCAUUAAGAACUAGAGCUGUCACUGUUUGUGCCAAAUGCCCACGAAGUGUCAUUUUUAACUCGGCGUUUUCGGAGAAAACCCGAGAUAUUGUCAUAGCCAGCUCGUAGUGUCGUCCGCCAUCCGCAUCGCGCUAAAACCUUAACAUUGGCUCUAAAAUCAAAGUGAUUCGACCUACAACUUUGAAACUUCAUAUGUAGAUGCACCUUGAUGAGUUCUACACGCCACACUCAUCUUUUGGUCAAAGGUCAAGGUCACUGUGACCUCUAAUAUAAAACUUUAACAUUGGCUCUAAAAUCAUAGUGCUUCCACCUACAACUUUGAAAUUUCAUAUGUAGAUGCUCCUUGAUGAGUUCUACAUGCUACACCCAUUUUGGGGUCACUAGGUCAAAGGUCAAGGUCAUUGUGACCUCUAAAAACUAAAAAAAAAAUCUGACAAGCACUCGUAGCCGAGCAUGGCACUAGUUAAGCGGUGCUCUUGUUAUCCAAAAUUGUGAUCUUGUCAUCUUGGCCUUCAAAGUUUUAUUUAUUUAUUGAAGAACAGAAAUCUCAAUUUACUUAUUCAUAUAGUAAAGCUGAUGGCAUUUUUGUUCACUUAUAGCCAUGCUUUGCACAAGAAAAAAAAACAAAGGGAAAAGAUUCUUAUCAAAUACAUGUAUAAUCCACACCUUUUUAUGCCCCCUUUGAAGAAGAGGGGGUAUAUUAUUUGUUGGAUGUCGAUCGGUCUGUCGGUAGAUCAUUUCCUAUCAAUACCUCAUCAUGCAUUGACAGAUUGAAUUGAUACUUAAUAUGUGCAUUUGCCUUGGACAGUAGAUGACCCCUAUUGAAAUUGGGGUCACUAGGUCACAGGUCACAAGUGUGAAAAGCGUUUCUGAUCAAUAACCUCAACUAAUUGACUGGUUGGCUUGAUACUUCCCAUGUGCAUUGGCCUUGGACAUUAUAUGACCCAUUUUCAAUUUGGGGUCACUAUGUCAAAGGUCACUGUCACAAUAAGUGUGAAAAUUGUAUCCGAUCAAUAACUCGUCAACAUUGGCCUUGGAUAGUAGAUGACGCCUAAUGAAAUUGGGGUCACUAGUUCAAAGCCCUGUUUGGGGGACAUAUGUCUUCACCCGGGGAACUCUUAUUUAAUUCUUCUUUCAUUAUUUAAGCUUCAUUGGAUUCCCUAAAUAUUUUAAGCUCGUUGUGAGCUAUUGUGAUCGCCUUUUGUCCGUUGUCACCAUUUAUCUUGUUAAAACUCAAAAGGCCACAUUUAUUGUCCAAUCCUUAUGAAACUUGGUCAGAACAUCUGUCCCAAUAAUAUCUUGGACGAGUUUGAAAAUGGCUCAGUUUUUUAAAAAACAUAGCCUCCAGGGUGCGGGACAGUUUUCCUUAUAUGGCCAGAGUAAAACCUUGUAAACACUCUAGAAGUCUCAUUUAUUGUCCAAUCUUCAUGAAACUGUGUAAGAACAAUUGUUCUAAUGAUGUCUUUGAUGAGUUUAUAAAUGGAUCCAAACUGUUGUAAAAAAUAGCCUCCAGUGGCAUGGCUUGUUUCCUUAUAUGGCUUUAGUAAAACCUUGUUAACACUCUGGAAGUCACAUUUUUAGCCCAAUCUUCAUGAAACUUAUUUAGAACAUGUGUCCCAAAAUUAUCUUGGAUGAGUGCAAAAAUGGUUCUGGUUGAUUGAAAACCAUGGCCGCAAGGGGGCGGGGCAGUUUUCCUAAUAUGGCUACAGUAAAAAGUGGUUAACACUCUAGAAGUCCCAUUUAUUGUCCAACCAUCAUGAAACUUAGUUAGAACCUAAUGAUAUCUUGGAUGAGUUUGAAAAUGGUUCUGUUCCAUUGAAAAACAUGGCAUUUCUCUUGAUGUCUAUAGUUAAACCUUGUUUUAAAGAGUUUGCCAUGGGAAAAUGGAUAUGUGACCGCGCCUAGCCAUCACGGGGUCACAGGUUCCAUCCCCACAAGGGGAGCGUUCCCCCAAAGACACCAAGGACUGGUUCUAGUUCUAGGAAAAGGACUUGAGAGAGUUGCAAUAAACCUGAGGCUUUCGAUGCAAUCAAGCUUAAAUAAAUAGGUUUAAACUAAACAAAAACCUUGUUUACACUCUAGAAGUCGCAUUUAUGGAUAGUUUCAAUAAUCCAACUCCCAGCUUUUAACCCCUCUGAGCUGUACGUAUGUACUCAUAAAAGCUCAGAGCAUUCAAGAACUACUUUUAUCGUCAAAUCUGUAUGCAACUUGGUCAGAUAAUCUGUUCUAAUGAUAGCUUGGCUGAGUUGAAAAUGCUUAUUGUUUGUGGAAAAACAUGGCCACCAGGGUGUGGGACGAAUGUUCCUUAUCUGGCUUAAUAAAACCUUGUUAACACUUA